rnacentral:miRNA from 1 species
AACCGAGACAGAGACAGAGACAGAGAGAGACAGAGAGAAAGAAAAAGAGUAUGGGAAUAAAAUGCAAAUAAAUUUGUUGAUUAACUUUUAAAGAACUCCCACAAACUGCAGACAAUUCCCAAAACUAAUGUCUAAUAAAUUCAGCAAUAAAAUUCUUCGUUUUCUUGGUAUUCUCUCUCUCUCUCUCUCUCUCUCUCUCUCUCUCUCUAUUCAUUCCUUUCU